CCGCAAGGGAGGCAGGCGCCGAGGUCGGGCUUGGUGACUGGGACGAAGUCGUAACAAGGUAGCUGUACCGGAAGGUGCGGCUGGAUCACCUCCUUUAAAGGAG
rnacentral:rRNA from 1 species